GGUCGCUGGUUUGUUUUGGCCAAACCAUGGUGUUUAGUAACAUCUUUAUGGUCUCGAAGUUUAGCCAGAUAGUGACAGCACUGAAAACAAAGAAGGCUGAAAAGAACAGGUAGAUAGGGAAGUGCAAAAGAGAAAGAAAAAGAUGACAAGAAAGAUUAAAUGAAGAGAGGCUUGGAUAGAUUGGAUUUGAGGCGAGGGAAACAAUAGUAGGAAAGAAGAGCAAAGUUAAAUUGAGAAGAGAGAAAAGAAAGAAAGCAUAUACAUAAAGAGACAGAGAUACUGCAAGGAGCAUGACAGAAGGAGAGCAGACAAAGAGAAGAUAUCGCAUCAGGGACUUGGUGAGCAAGAGCGACCAAAAAGAGUGAGGAAGGCUGGAAUAUAAAGAGAGAAAGAGAGAGGGGAAGAGAGGGAAGGAAGAGGCAGGCUUUGCCUUUUCUGGUAGUUAAAGCUGCUGAAAGGGCGAACAGGAAUUCUUUGUGCUGCUGCAGGGCUAAGAUAUAAACCAGACUGCCGAGGUGAUAUAGUGAGAGAGAAGGGAGUGCUGCCCAUGGACUAAACGUUGCUGCUACAGCUAAGCCAGAACAGGAAAAACUUUUGCCGUCCCACCAUGGAUGAUGACUUUGACCGCCGUAUGGAGCUGAGGAGACAGAGGAGGGAACAGAUGCGCCUCGAGGCAGAGGGUACGAGCUACGGUUCGACCAAUGAAGAUGACGAGGAGGGGGCCCGUGAGAAGAGGAGGCUGGCUCGCGAGGAGCGAAUGAAAAACAAGGAGACUGAAGACUCCAGCAGCACUGUGGAUGAAGUUAUCAACACCAACAGCGUGUCAGAGACAGAGUCAUCUUCUGUCAGUGCUGUGAGCUCGUCGGGCGUUGGUGAGGACGACACAGUCCUGCUGGAUCGUCUGGCUAAGAGGGAGGAACGCAGGCAGAAGAGGAUGAUGGAGGCCCUGGAGAGACAGAAGGAGUUUGACCCCACCAUCACCACCACCAACGGCACAGAUGUCAGUCCAGAGGAUCAGUCCUCCAACCACAGGGGGCACAACCAAGAAGAAGAGGAGAAGGAGGUAGGGGUAACCUCCGAGACCAACUCCUGGAGGAGAGAAGAGGAGGAUGAGCAGAAGGAGGAAGUGAAGGUGCAAAAAGAACCCCUGAAAGAGGAGGAGUGUGCACCUGUUCCUAAGCCAGAGCCAAAGAAGGCAGAGGAGAAGAAUGAGGAAGAGGAAGAGGAGGAGAGACCAAGUAGGUCUUUGAGAGAACAGGAGGAGGUUGAGGAGAAGCCGGUAGUAUCAGACAGAGAGGUAGAGAAAACAGAUGUAGAGAAGGAAGAAGAGGUAAAGGAAGAUGAGACAGAAACAUUGCGGAGAGAAGCAGAGGAAAAGGCCAAGAGAGAAGCAGAAGAUAAAGCUAGGAGGGAAGAAGAAGAAAAGGCCAAAAGAGAAGCAGAAGAAACAGCUAGAAGAGAAGCGGAGGAAAUGGAAAGAAGAAAAGCUGAAGAAAAAUCAAAGAAAGAAGCAGAAGAAACAUUGAAGAAAGAAUUAGAGGAGAAAUCUAAGAAAGAGGCAGAAGAAAAGGCAAAGAGAGAAGCAGAAGAAAAGGCAAAGAGAGAAGCAGAAAAAAAACAGAAGAAAGAACUGGAGGAGAAAUUGAAGAAAGAGGCAGAGGAGAAGGUUCAGAAGGAAGCGCAGGAGAAGGCAAAGCGAGAAGCAGAGGAAAAAGCGAAAAAAGAAGCACAGACCAAAGCUAAGAAAGAAGAAGAACAAGCUCAAAAAGCAAAGAAAGAGGCUGAAGCAAAGUCUCAGUUAUCCAAAAAAGCAGAAGAAAAAUCCCAGAAAGUUGUUGAGGAAAAGCCACACAAACUUGGCCUAAAGGAGAAGCAGCAGAAUGGAGGACUCCAUGACAACAGUGUCUCCAAAAACAAGAAACCAGAAAGAACCCUAAGCCCUGGCACCACCGGCUCCACUGAAGCAGAGGACCUGAAGCGUCAGGAAGCGGAGCGUAAGCUGGAGGAGUUGAAGCGUCGCCGCGACGAUGCAGAGAGCAAGGAGUUGGAGAAGAUGAAGCAAAAGCAGCAUGAAGCAGAGGCAGAGGUCGGGGAACUGAAGAAGAAGAGGGAGGAGAGGAGGAAGAUCCUAGAGGAGGAGGAAAGACAGAAGAAAGAGGAAAUGGCAGAGAAGAAGGCCAAAGAGCAGGAGGAAAGGAGGAAGAUGAAGGAGGAGAUUGAACGAAGGAGAGCGGAGGCUGCGGAGAAGAAGAAGCAAAUGGGGGAGGGAUCUGCCGACGCAAAGCUAGCCUUCUCGUGUCUCACCCCCAAGGGCUCCUCUAAGAUCGGGGAGAGGGCAGAGUUCCUGAACAAGUCAGCCCAGAAGAGCAGUUCAGUCAGGACAUCACACACUCCUAUUGUCUCCAAAAUAGGCAACAGACUGGAACAAUACACUACUGCCAUACAGAGCAACAAGGACACCAAGUCACCUAAGUCCCCAGUCACGGACCUCCCUGUGGGCGGCACACGCAGCAUCAAGAAUAUGUGGGAGAAAGGCAACGUCAUAGGGGCCUCUGAGAGCCCAGCUGCUACAAAUAAGGAUGCCGCUGGUAUCAAAGUGGGCGUUGCAGGGCGUGUCAACGACUGGCUGGCCAAACCCCCAGAGGCGGGCAAGGCAGCGGCCGGUGCGCCUGGGGACCUGAAACCAGUUGAUGUCACCAACAAGCGUGGCCUAUGGGAAACCAAGAAGAGCUCUACUCCUGCCAAGUCGACUUAACUGAUGGGGAAAGGAGGUGACAGAUGGAAGCAACAUCAAAUCUGUCACUAAUGCAGGAAAGGGACACUAACCAUUAAAUACUCACUGAGAAGACCCUGACUGAACAAGUGCGAUACUCAACCAUGUGUUUUCAUGAACUGAACUACACAUCACCUCCCAGGGUACAUGUGAGGUUUUCAGAAAUGGGCAAGAAAAAAAAUUAUGUAUAUAAACAAUGUAUUUAAAACCCUCAAACUUGGUGGUAAAGCACUUGAACAAUGUCUAUCAUUCCUUUAAAUAAUGUAUGCUGUGAAAAAAAGAUAUUUGAUCAACUUGAUUUAACCAUCAAAAACAUUUGUGUUUAAAACCAUGUCCCAACCAUUAUGUGCUUGACUUAAUUUCUUUACUGAAUAAAAUAAAUUCAAAGAAUGACAAACUUUACAAUUGUCUUCAAAACAGUAGACCUUACAGCUUUGGUAACCCUGUUGAGCAGUUACCCCAGCAUACACAGACAUUUGAAGUUAUUGAUAUGGGUCAUUUGUCCCCAGAAGCAUGUAGCCUACUGUUUCAAACAUUUAUUUUUGCAAACGUUUCACGUUAGCUUGCUGUCUUGCCACAUCCUACCAAAUUCAGGAUAAAUUAAUGUCACACAUUCAUGCUCAUAGUAUAAUGUCAUUGUGAUGUAGUGCAUAUUCUUUGCAUAUGAAUGGGAAUUGUAGUCUCAUAUUUUAUCGUCAUACACUUAUCACAGCUUUUUAGAGAUAUAUUCACAGUUUGAUAUACUCACAUUCUGAUACUGAAAUGCAAUACCAGUGAAAUAGUAAAUAGUCAAAAUAGACAGAUUGUUAGAUCACAGCAGAUUUUCCAAAAGGCUUUGUUUUGUUUUUUUGACCACAGAUAUCCACUAAGCUGGAUAAUGAGUGAUUAGCCUGUACUUACUUGACUUGUUUUUGUCCAAUGAAUAAUUUUGAAAGAGAAAACAGAAAUCAUUAGGAUAAUAAGCACUGGUGGCUAUACCUAUUUAACACCUCUGAGUGGCAUUGCCCCAGACUUCAGAAGUUUUCCAGGUGGUGAACAACUCCUGUCCAUGAGCAAGUGUUAGUUUGAAACCAAAACAAUGUAAAGGCCUAACCUGGAAAAGUUGGACAGAAUUGAAAAAUGAUUCAGUCAUAUGUUUCACAGUUUUACUUGUACAUCAGUUUUUUUCUUAAGGAACUUCCCUUCAAUGUCAGCGACACAAAACAUAUGGGUUCACAACAAAAUAUCUCCACACCAUGAAUUAGAAUGUUCAUUGUGAAAGAGAACAAUUAUAUAUUUGUUUACAAUUUUAAAUGGGUAUUUUAAUGGGGGGUUCUCACACAAUUAGCUUCAAUAUGAUGCCUUGUUAGUUCAUGUUUGUAAUGUACUAGAUAGAUUAGAUUUGGCAGACAAGGGAAUUUCUAGAACCUGUACUCAAGUUUCACAGGAAGAGUCUGAGUAUGAAGUUGAUCUCUAUGAACGGUCCGUUUGACACCUGUCUGACUUACUAGUAUUCUUAUUAGUAUUGUUGUUAUUAUUAACCAUUUCUGUUUGUAAUUUGGAUUGUUUUGUUUGAAGGUCAUGUUUGAAGCUUUACCAUUGUCCCUGCUUCAGCAAUAAAAAGAAAUGUGGAGUG